AAUCAACGCUGGCGGCGUGCCUCAGACAUGCAAGUCGAACGAUUAAGACUCCCUUCGGGGAGUGCAUAAAGUGGCGCACGGGUGAGUAACACGUAAGUAAUCUACCCUCGGGUGGGGAAUAACGUCCGGAAACGGACGCUAAUACCGCAUAAUGCAGCGGCACCGCAAGGUGACAGUUGUUAAAGAUUUAUUGCCUGGGGAGGAGCUUGCGGCAGAUUAGCCUGUUGGAAGGUAACGGCUUACCAAGGCUACGAUCUGUAUCCGGUCUAAGAGGACGGUCGGACACACUGACACUGAAUAACGGGUCAGACUCCUACGGGAGGCAGCAGUC
rnacentral:rRNA from 1 species